AUCUUGGGNGCACGCUGGCGGCGUGCUUAACACAUGCAAGUGGAGCGACGAACCAGGCUUCGGCCUGGGGNAGAGCCGCGAACGGGUGAGUAACACGUGGGUAACGUGCCCCGAUGACCGGGACAACCCGGGGAAACCCGGGCUAAUACCGGAUGUGCUGCCCUCACAUCAGUGAGGGUUGGAAAGGGAGCUUCGGCCUCCGCAUCGGGAUCGGCCCGCGGCCCAUUAGCUUGUUGGUGAGGUAACGGCUCACCAAGGCUGCGAUGGGUAGCUGGUCUGAGAGGACGAUCAGCCACACUGGGACUGAGACACGGCCCAGACUCCUACGGGAGGCAGCAGUGGGGAAUCUUGCGCAAUGCGCGAAAGCGUGACGCAGCAACGCCGCGUGGGGGAAGAAGGCCUUCGGGUUGUAAACCCCUUUCAGGAGGGACGAAGCCGGGGCGGUGAAUAGCCGACUCCGGUGACGGUACCUCCAGAAGAAGCCCCGGCUAACUACGUGCCAGCAGCCGCGGUAAUACGUAGGGGGCAAGCUNUUNUCCGGAAUCAUUGGGCNUAAAGCGCGUG
rnacentral:rRNA from 1 species